UCUCCCCUCCCACGCGCCUCCUCUCCCUCUCUCUCUCUCGUUCCCCUCCCCUCCAACGAGCCUCCCCUCCCGCGCGCCUCCUCUCCUCCCGCCAUCUCCUACAUCCAUCGGCCGCCACCUUCGCCGGCUCCUCCCCCCCACCCCCGCAUCUCCUUACCGUCUUCAGGCCGCGUGUUGCCACCACCCUUCCUCCUCUCCUCCCAUUAUUCCCCUCCCCUAACCCUAGAAAUGGAAGAAGGGGGCCAGUCGUCCGCGGCGCCGUGUCCGCCGUCCAGAACGCUCGCCGGCGUGGAUGUGUGGUGCGAGGCUGGGGAUGCUGUCUUCGCUCCCUGCCGCGCCGUCGCAUCUUCUCCUCCUCCCCGCCCUCCCGGUCCUUAGCGGGAGGAGCGCGGCUCGCCGCCGCAACUGCUCCGCGUCGCUGCUCCCUCGUCGAGCUGGCACGUCGCCGUCACCUGGAGGAGCGGCCGCUCCCUGCCGCGCCGUCGCAUGGCAGCUGCUCCGCGUCGCUGGUCCCCCAUCUAGCUCGUGUGUCCCCGUCGCCUGGAGGAGCAGAGGCUGCCGCUCCAGCAUCUUCUCGGCCCUCCUUCCCUCGUCGGCGAGCGGCUCAUGGCAACUCCAGACCGUGCUCUGUCGCCUCCAACUUUGGUCCCCGUCUCCACUUCAUUAGGGAGGCAGGUCUGAAUCCAAAUGUGGAACAGGGAAAGGUAAAAGCAGCUCAAUUGGUUGGUUCAAGCUACAGGUUGGCACCUACGCAGAAAGAGGUGACGGAUUGAAAGGUCAAUCCACAAGAGCGAACUAAGAAGUGCAGGAACCACUCAGAAUAAUCAUCGAUACGGACAAUGACGGUGAAGGCCGUACUUCUCGGGCGAUUCUCAACGUAGAACCAGUUGACCUGACGGAAGAAGCCGGCAGCGAGUCGGGCCUGCGGCUUUUGUGGUGGGGUGAGGAAGAGGAGGACGAUGAGUGAAACGCUGUCCAUUGAUGAUGUCGCCUUGCUGCUAGGAGAAGGCGAGAGGAGGAGGCAGGAGCCUGGACCAGAAGCACAGAAGGAUGAGGCUAUUCACGCGGUUGAAGUCGCUCAUCUACCUAUUGUUUAGUAUUUACUUGCAAUACGCACAACCUGAUUUUCAACUCAAUCAAGAGUCAACCUAAUUAGUAGACGAACAAAAAAAACUACUCUUUGCGGCCAGAUGAUGAACCAAAAGGAAAAUUCUAUAUGUACAUAUAUUAUUUCAAGGAAAAUUCUGCUCACAGGAAAUACAUUAUUAGGACAUCAUAGAGGAUGUCACAUUUAUGUGUAGUAAGCCAUGCUUCCUAUUUGCUGUGGUUGUUUUUGGUGUUAUGUUUCGGGGUAUAUAUCUAGGACAAUGAAUCUGAAGUUGGGUAUUUAGAUGGGUUGCAGUUUGUUGAAGCUAAACAUCUAAGCACAUUAAAAUGGGACAUUCUUGCAAUUAUGUUGAUUUAUGGUGAGAUAACCUAGAGAAGUAUCGAUGUGUAUCUUCAGUUCAUAGUUGUCCUGUUUGUUACUACAAACCUGAAAGCUAUAAACUCAAGAUGUUCUUCUCACAUGAAAGUAUAGUCUCUCUUUUGAUUUAUUUAAUUCCCAUUUCUGGCAAAAACUAAAUAAUGUACUGAAUUGUAGUUUUGUAUUACUUAUAUAUUAUUUCAUCAAGCAGUGGUAUGCAUUGGCAUCCAGUGAUGUUUAUUUCUUUUGAAUGUUUGAUAGGUAAUUGCAGGAGUUGAUGAUAUGUAUCGUCCUAUGUUUAUAAAGCGGUAAAGCGAAGCGAGGCGCUAGGGGGGCGCCUCACUGCUUAAGCGAUAAAGCGUAAAGCGAGGCGACGCUUUACAGACUCUGAACCUGAUGGGCAGUAUAAUAGAGCACCAUUUAGUGAGACAUAUAUAUGUUGAUUCUAAUCCACCAGUGAGCCCAUAUAUUCUGAUCCAUCCACUAAGCAGUAAGCAACUAGCCAAUUGCUAUAAGAGAGGCAGUAGCACCUAACAGCAGAGGAGUUGUGCAUAGCAUAACACACAACAGAGCAGAAAAGGCUGGUGCAGAUCUGAGGAAGCUGCUGCCAGAGGAGAGAGGAAAGAGCUGAAAGCCUGGAUAUUUGCACGCUCUGGUUUUGGUUCUCUCUCUUUCUUUCCCCUCCUGUAACUGUUUCACAUGUGAGCCCAGCCCUGUUUCCCUGCCAGGAAUCUCUGUACCCUGCCUGGCAAGUCUAAGGCGUCCUCUCUGCCUUAAAGCGCCAAUCAGGACGCCUAAGCAGGCGCUUCAGACGCUUUAGUGUCUAAGGCGGACGCCUUAGACACAUGUCUAAAGCGAGUUGGACGCUUUGAGCCUGGAGGGCGCUCUAACGCUUAAGCGUCGCUUAAGCGACACUUUAGGGACGCUUUACAAACAGAGGUAUCGUCCAGCACCGUUACUUGAGGUAACCUAUUUAACUUUAUAACCGAGUACAUCAACUGAAUUUUUCCCAUGGUGAGCUAGCUUCAACUGUUCCUGUUUGGGUUAUGUUUAUCAGUAGUUGUAAUAGUUCAUGGUGUGGUCAGUGCCAUUUAACAUCAUAUUCUGCCUAUGGUAUUAAAGAUUUUAGAUUAAUCUAAAAUAUUGGAUUUUAUCUGAAUGUUAGCCAUCGACUGUCAUAUUGUGCAUAUUUGUGAUUCAGAUUUCUUUUUAUGCCAUUGUUCAGACAUUACUCGAAAUCUCCAAUUUGUCAAAAACUUUUCUUGAUUAGAUGAUAAUGUGAUAUACAUGGUGACUGCUAUUAAAUGAGCCCAUCCACUUACGCCCUUAUAAGCGAGCAACUAAUUGAUGGUAAAUCUGUAACCCAUUGUUUUCGACUUAUGCGUGUACUUGUUUCGAAUGGAGCACAUAUUGGCAUGCUCCGUUCAUCUUAGGUGAGUGUGAAUGUUGAAGUGUGAUUUCGUAGCAUUAGGCUUGCAAUUUAAGAGAUCUUCCAAUCCAUUUUUUCUGGAUUUUGGGGAUGUGUACAGUGGAAAAUUAUAGAUAAAUAAGAUUUCUUUGUUCUUAAUUCUUUCAUGUUGGAGAGAGUGACAGUACCUACGUUCCUGUCAGUGGGCUAUAUAUAUUCUCUAGCUGCUUGCUGUUUUCUUUCUUGCGGUAAUUUAUUUGCCAUUUGUAACAGCAAAAUGAUAUGUCAACAUGCUCUGAUAUUUUAUAGCAAUUUUAGAGAUUUCUUCUCAUAUUAAGAUUAGUUCUUGCUGAUUAUUUUUGUGGGACUAGGAAAUGAAGCUUUUUUUUAUUUGUGUUGUACUCUAUUCUUUUUAUUCUGUUGGUUUUGCCUCAUACAACCAUUAUUUUAAUUAAAAAGCAUAUUUCUCUCUCUAUCUCUGACCGCGGCUCUUUUCAUCGCCUUGGCUUGCAGGUCGCCGCUGGAGCCGGACAAGGUAAUGGCUUACCUUACCCGGUGAGGUGCUGAGUAGGAAGAUCGCGCAAGACACCACCACCACCAGGUACUAGAGGGCGCCAUCAAGUAUGUCGCUGUACUGAUUGCCGAUAACCUAUAGGUCCAUCUCUUCUCUCUCUCUCUCUCUCUCUCUCUCUCUCUCUCUCUCUUUGUAGUUCUGGAUUAGGCUUACCUGAACUACUUAAUGUGACAAAAUAUCUUAAACAAGCUCUGUGAUUUCCUAUGCUCUCUUAUAUUUUCAAAGAAAAAAGAACUGCUCUUAUAUUAUAUUUGUUAGUUCCUUUAUACCCCAAGAGAAAAUAGAACUGACUAACAAAACUCUGUUGAUGAUGAAUAAUGCAGUGUAUAUAAUUCAGGGGCCCCUUUUCUUUCAUUUGUUGCUCAGUUAGCUUGUUGUUCUUACCUGCUGUUCUGAUUUUGUUUUCUGGGUGCUGUAUAGGAUACUAUGGUUAAAGAUUGUUCUGAUUUAUAUCGAUGUUGUUGAUUAUCAAAAUUAGUGGAUAUUAUCUAGGGUGCUUCUCCUUUGGAUUUGAUGUACUAUGUCUUUCCAGCUUAUACUAGAUGAUUUCUUUUCAUGGUUUUUGAUAAUUAUGGAUAUGUAUCUAAUAAUCUUAUUUUGGCGUCAACAAAUUACUCAUCUAGCAUUUCUUCUAUUACAGCUCUGUAUCUUUUUCUUUACAUGGUUACUGCACUAUUGAAGUAGUUGUAUUCUGGACUCUUUCCAUUUUACCUUGCUUGGCUGACUAGAGCCCAGAAAUAACAUUUAGUUCUGGUUGUUUUGAUCAAGUAAGUGACACCUAACUGUCAUUGAUUUCUGGGAUUGUUCAUUAUCUUGAGCCAUGCCUGGUACUGAAUCUGAAUUUUCCAUCUCUGGUACCAUGGCACGGGGUUGGCGGCGGCAUCUUGGUGAAGAAGAGGACGACAGUGGCUUAGGGAGGAAGAUGACAGUGGCAACCUGAUCUAUAUGAAUUGAGAAGCUUUCUUUCUUCCUAAAUGUGUUGAUAUGCUCUUCAUUGAUAUAGCAUAUCCUUUUCUGUAUUAUUCACAUAAUUCUUUGCUAGCAGAAUAUCCUAAACAAUCUGAAAAAUAGAUAGCUUGAAGGAUGCACGUUGUAGUGUCAAAAGGAUGCAGAACAUUUGUGCGUUCCCUCUAGAAUUUCCCCGCCUAUAUGAUUUUCAUCGAAUUAUUGCGGUCAACCUCUUUUGAUCAUUUGCUCACAAUCUGGUAAUUCACGCUUACAAUUUGUCAAGCUGAAGAAGUCUGUUUAGGCUACAUGCUCUUACCUCCUUAGACUCGGCAGAUGGGCGUUUUACAAUGAAAUAAUGUUCUUUUAUUAGAUAAAUUAUUAGGUUUUAUUUGGCUCUGCAGAGGGAUAACAUAGGACGGUAAUUUACAUUUCUGUAAUGAGUUGGAAAUAAAGAGGAGCACCCUAUGUUUUUAAGGCGGUAAGGCGAGGCGAGGCGCUGGGGGGGCGCCUCACUGCCUAAGCGCUGAGGCAUAAGGCGAGGCGACGCCUUAGAGACUUGUAAGCAACAGAAUUUAAGUAGAACUUGGUAGGCAUUAAGCAACUAGGCAUACAGCCAUACACACCUUGCAACUGAUUGUUGUAGAGCCCCCAUCCUCUUUGCACUUGCUUUUCUCCCCAACAGAAUUCUGCAUCAACAUGAAGUCAUGAACAAAUAUGUUAGAAUAAUGUAUCACUUACCAGUGCACAUUCCACAAAAAAUAGAAAUAAAAGUGAGGCAGCGAACAAAAGUGGAAAGAAAGAUAGCAAGUAUGAGUGCAACUGCAAUCUGCAAUGCAUGGCAUAUUACAUAACCAUUAACCAAUUCAAAUGACACAAGUCCAGUAGUCCACAUAAGACAAACAGAAUAAUAGAUAAUUCCAGCAUAGCAAAAGGGAUAAAGGUGGCCAGCUCAGCUCUCUCAUGUCUCUCCACUCUCAAAGUCUCAAUCAAAAGUCAUCAUCAUCAAACUCAUUGGCAUUGGUGUUGUCUUCACCAUCUUGGUCAACAUUAGUUGGCUCUUGAUCGUCAUUGCUCACAUCAUCAUCAUCCUCAACGUAGUCUGAAUCCUCCCCCUCCGCAUUGGGCAUACUGUUGCUCUUGCUUGUUGUUGCUGUACUGCAGAGGAGGAGGAGCUGCUGGACAGGAGGAUGAGGAGGAGCUGCUGGACAGGAGGAAGAGGAGGAGGAGCUGCUGGACAGGAGGAAGAGGAGGAGCUGCUGGAGAGGAGGAACCGUUGGAGAGGAGGGGGAGGAGCUGCUGGAGAGGAGGAGGAACCAGAUCUGCUGGAGAGGAGCCACUGAAGAGAAGGAGGGGGAGGAGUGUGUGGAUUGGGGGCUGUUUCUCUCUCUCUCUUUCUCCCCUCUUACCUGUUGGCGCCAACAUGAUUCCAGUUUCCCGCCAAAACUCUGUUUCCCGCCUAAAACAGUUCCCCUGCCUGCCUGGCAAGCUAAGGCGUCCAAAAUGGACUAAGGCAACGCCUCGGACGCCUAGGCAGACGCCUCGGACGCCUUAUAGCUUAAGGCGGACGCCUUAGACACCCACCUAAGGCGAGGUGGACGUCUUGCCCUCGCAGGGCGCCCUGACGCCUAAGCGUCGCCUAGGCGACGCCUUAGGGACGCCUUGAAAACAGAGGGAGCACCUCUAUUUUAUAUGGAAUGCUGAACUUUAUAUGGAAUGCUUAAUUAAGUUCUGAUAUCAAUUUCCAUUUAUGUAAUGAGUUGGAAAUAAAGAAAUGAUUAAGAAAUAUUCAUCUAGCAGAUUCUUAUGAAUGUGCAAAGUUAGGAGUACAUUGAAUUUCUAGAUGUUUCCAGCCUACCACAUUUAUUUAUUUGCAUAUAUUUUCCAAUGUAGGUUGGUAGCCUGUUGCUCAUUCCAUGCAUCUGCUCUACUGCUGGCCUCUGCCUCCUCGUUCUUUAGGAGACGGUACAAGUCAUGGAGAAUUUGUGCAACCUCCGUUCCUUUCCGACGUGUUGUGAGUUGUUGAAGGAGCGAGAGGACGCAAGACUGGGAUCAAAGCCGAGGUUGGACCGGUGAUGGCGGCUGCAGCGGGACGGAUGACACAGACAAAAAAGACAGUUCCUCAUAUUUGUCUCCGAUGAAAAAAGAUCAUCUGGUGACAAACACCUCCUUCUUUUUUCUAUAUGCAUCCUCCCAUGACAAAACUUGUUUCUGGACAGGGUAUCUUGCUGGGGAAAUAGACCCUGUAGUCUAUAUUUGUGCCUGUUAAGACUUUUUAUUGUUAUUGAAAGUGAAGCUAGCUCUGUAUAAAAGGGCUUUCGGUUGAUUAAAGUUUCACUGAAAAGAAUGUUUAUUUCAGUCCAUAUCUUAUUCCAAAUUCCCAUGAUCUAAUUGGUGUUCUAUGCAGAACAACACUUUUGGGUUUUAGGUAAUCUUUGAAUGGUCUCUAAAUGGUAAUCUUGCCUGACCACUGACUUUUUGAGUUUUGCCUUACAAGAGCAUUUCCAUGCAAAUAUAUAACAUGACGAUCUUGGAUUUCUUAUGGGUAUGAUAAUUUAUUUUUUCUAUAUGAUCAUAUGAGGUCAUGUGUAUUUUAUUCGAGCAAGUAAGGCAUAUAUCUGUUUCUUUGGAGAAUUAAAUAGGAGAAUUACUUGAACUCAAGCAGCUUUGUGGCAUUUGUUUAUGUUUAAAUUGUUUACAUUCAGAUUGGUUUCCUAAUUUCUAUUACACGGUUGGUCUCUGCAUUCCAGUUUGGUUUGUCUGUUGUAUAUAUAAUUGUGAGCUUUGUUUACUUUUACUUAUUAGGUUUCUUAGGGUCAUUCCUCCAUUACUGCUGCCACUGCUCCUUUGGUUCUUGGUCAUUGCUCUGACGAAUGUCUCCGUCCCAGGUAAUUUUCUUCUGCCUUUUGUUAUUAUUAUGUGAGUUGUCAUUGUUUUUACAUUGUAUGUUAUAUUUCCUGUUCCUUUGGCUUGGAUAAUCCGUCUUUUAUUCAUCAUCCAUUACUGUUGUUGCUGCUCCUUUAGUUCUUGGUCACAUAUAAGCUGUAAUUGUUUUUACACACUAAUGAGGGCCUUUGGAUAAUCUGUCUUUGAUUCAUUUUUCUUAUCAGAGCUCAGUUAUUGAUAUUUCAAGCCAAGUUUUUUCCACUAUUAUAAUAAAUUGAGGAGUGUUGAGAAGAAUCUAUUUGGGUUGCUCUCAUUGAAUUUCUCAUUAAGACAUGCACUCAGUUCUGGUUUAUCAAGUUAUGUAUAAUAUGUAUAUGUUGAUAUGCAUGGCAUCACUCAAAUGUGUGUAUUCCUGCUGUUGAAUUUUAGAAUCAGCACUCUGUUUUCUUUUCAAGCAUCUCUCGAAACCAUCUUUGAGAAAAAUUCUUUACUAAGUAAUGAUUUCUUCUUUUCUGUAGUAUUCCUCAAGUUUAUGAAUGAACUGAUAGAUGUCAUCUACUGCCUAUUAAGUAGGCUAUGCAAAAUAUGUUAUCAUGUAACUUGUACCCAUGCAUCAGUGAUAAAGCUGAUAAUUUUCAUUUUAUCUCAGGGUUGCUCCGUCCAUUUAUCUCUUUUUAUGUUCAGUAGUGAAGAGGGUUAUAUUCCUAACUAUGCAGAGAUUAUUAAGGGUGUUAAGUUGCUUCUCAUAAGUGAUUGGGACUAUGAGAUCAUUAAGGGGCAUUGAGCCGCUGCCCAGAGGUAUACUUUCUUUUAUUUCUUAUAUAUUUCAACCACUUAGUUUUGUUGUCUCUAAACCAUUUUUGAUGACUCAAGUUGAUCAUACUAUUGUGAGAAUCUUGGCCAGGAUCAUUCUUUAUAUCAUGUUGGAUCAUCUUAGAAUUCGUAGAGCCAGUUACCAUCGAAGGAUGUACUCAUAGAACACAAUCAGUGUAAUUGUGCUUUUCUACACUUCUGCCUAGAGCAAUGGGAUAUGUAUGAUGUAUUGUAUGGCUACCCUCUAAUGCACUACUCAGCCUCCUGUACAAAUGACUUGAUCUAAUUAUUAUGAAAGACAUGUGGAGUGUGUUGCUUUAUAUAUACAUAAUUUGCUAUAAUUCUGAUUUA